rnacentral:lncRNA from 1 species
GCUGAAGACCGGGGUGGCCAUCUGCAGUUUCGCCAUGUCCUCAGUGUUCGGCAAGCCCCGAGCUGGCAGCGGGCCCCACAGCGUGCCUCUGGAGGUUAACCUGGCUAUCCUUGGGCGCCGCGGAGCGGGCAAGUCUGGUCUUCCACUCAUCUCCAUCCCUGGGACCAGCAACAAAAUCUCGUCAGCUGACACUAAGGAGACCUGUUGGCGCUGGUCUCCAGCCCUGGGUCCCUUUGAAUUUAGUGGCAUCCUUGCUAUUCCUUGAUCUGUGCUGUCCACCCCCUCAACACCCCCUCCAAGGAACUUAGUAGAAGUCAGUAGAGAUUAGAACUUCUCAGGCUCAGGCCACUCCUACACUGCCAACCCUUGGAACUCUGAAACAGACUAUUCUUAUCAAAUGUG